CCUACGGGAGGCAGCAGUGAGGAAUAUUGGUCAAUGGGCGGGAGCCUGAACCAGCCAAGCAGCGUGAAGGACGACUGUGCUACGGGUUGUAAACUUCUUUUAUAAAGGAAUAAAGUGAGGCACGUGUGCCUUUCUGUGUGUACUUUAAGAAUAAGGAUCGGCUAACUCCGUGCCAGCAGCCGCGGUAAUACGGAGGAUGCGAGCGUUAUCCGGAUUUAUUGGGUUUAAAGGGAGCGUAGAGGGGUAUUUAAGUCAGUGGUAAAAGUUGGGGGCUAAACCGUAGCAAGCCGUGGAAACUGGCUGCCUUGAGAUCACUAGAGGUAUGCGGAAUGCGCAGUGUAGCGGUGAAAUGCUUAGAUAUUGCGAAGAACUCCGAUUGCGAAGGCAGCUUACCGGCG
rnacentral:rRNA from 1 species